rnacentral:rRNA from 1 species
UGGGGAAUUUUGCACAAUGGAGGAAACUCUGAUGCAGCGACGCCGCGUGAGUGAUGAAGAUCUUCGGAUUGUAAAACUCUGUCCUUAGUGAAGAUAAUGACAGUAACUAAGAAGCAAGCCCUGGCUAAAUACGUGCCAGCAGCCGCGGUAAUACGUAUGGGGCAAGCGUUGUCCGGAAUUAUUGGGCGUAAAGGGUACGUAGGCGGUUUAAUAAGUCCUAAUUAAAAGGCUAUGGCUCAACCAUAGUAUGGUUAGGAAACUGUUGAACUUGAGUAGAUGAGGGGAAAGUGGAAUUCCAUGUGUAGCGGUGAAAUGCGUAGAUAUAUGGAGGAACACCAAUGGCGAAGGCAACUUUCUGGAAUCAAACUGACGCUGAUGUACGAAGGCGUGGGGAGCAAACAGG